rnacentral:rRNA from 1 species
GAUGAACGCUGGCGGCGUGCCUAAUACAUGCAAGUCGAGCGAACGGACGAGAAGCUUGCUUCUCUGAUGUUAGCGGCGGACGGGUGAGUAACACGUGGAUAACCUACCUAUAAGACUGGGAUAACUUCGGGAAACCGGAGCUAAUACCGGAUAAUAUUUUGAACCGCAUGGUUCAAAAGUGAAAGACGGUCUUGCUGUCACUUAUAGAUGGAUCCGCGCUGCAUUAGCUAGUUGGUAAGGUAACGGCUUACCAAGGCAACGAUGCAUAGCCGACCUGAGAGAGUGAUCGGCCGCACUGGAACUGAGACACGGUCCAGACUCCUACGGUAGGCAGCAGUAGGGAAUCUUCCGCAAUGGGCGAGAGCCUGACGGAGCAACGCCGCGUGAGUGAUGGAGGUCUUCAGAUCGUAAAGCUCUGUUAUUAGGGAAGAACAUAUGUGUAAGUAACUGUGCACAUCUUGACGGUACCUAAUCAGAAAGCCACGGCUAACUACGUG